rnacentral:rRNA from 1 species
UACGUAGGGGGGCAAGCGUUGUCCGGAAUCAUUGGGCGUAAAGCGCGUGUAGGCGGCCCGGUAAGUCCGCUGUGAAAGUCGGGGGGCUCAACCCUCGAAUGCCGGUGGAUACUGUCGGGCUAGAGUGCGGGAGAGGCGAGUGGAAUUCCUGGUGUAGCGGUGAAAUGCGCAGAUAUCAGGAGGAACACCAAUUGCGAAGGCAGCUCGCUGGAACGUAACUGACGCUGAGACGCGAAAGCCAGGGGAGCGAACGGG